AUUCCUACGGGAGGCAGCAGUGGGGAAUUUUGGACAAUGGGGGCAACCCUGAUCCAGCCAUGCCGCAUGAGUGAAGAAGGCCUUCGGGUUGUAAAGCUCUUUCGGCCGGGAAGAAAUCGUGCGGGCUAAUACCCUGUAUGGAUGACGGUACCGGAAGAAGAAGCACCGGCUAACUACGUGCCAGCAGCCGCGGUAAUACGUAGGGUGCGAGCGUUAAUCGGAAUUACUGGGCGUAAAGCGUGCGCAGGCGGUUUCGUAAGACAGAUGUGAAAUCCCCGGGCUUAACCUGGGAACUGCGUUUGUGACUGCGAGACUUGAGUGCGGCAGAGGGGGGUGGAAUUCCACGUGUAGCAGUGAAAUGCGUAGAGAUGUGGAGGAACACCGAUGGCGAAGGCAGCCCCCUGGGUCGACACUGACGCUCAUGCACGAAAGCGUGGGGAGCAAACAGGAUUAGAUACCCUGGUAGUCCACGCCCUAAACGAUGCGAACUAGGUGUUGGGGAAGGAGACUUCUUUAGUACCGUAGCUAACGCGUGAAGUUCGCCGCCUGGGGAGUACGGUCGCAAGAUUAAAACUCAAAUGAAUUGACGGAAU
rnacentral:rRNA from 1 species